UACGUAGGGGGCAAGCGUUGUCCGGAAUCAUUGGGCGUAAAGAGCGCGUAGGCGGUCCGGUAAGUCCGCUGUGAAAGUCGGGGGCUCAACCCUCGAAUGCCGGUGGAUACUGCCGGGCUAGAGUCCGGAAGAGGCGAGUGGAAUUCCUGGUGUAGCGGUGAAAUGCGCAGAUAUCAGGAGGAACACCGGUGGCGAAGGCGGCUUCCUGGACCGACACUGACGCUGAGGCGCGAAAGCUAGGGGAGCAAACGGG
rnacentral:rRNA from 1 species